ACCUGGGGAAACCCAGGCUAAUACCGCAUACGUCCUACGGGAGAAAGGGGGCUCCGGCUCCCGCUAUGGGAUGAGCCUAUGUCGGAUUAGCUAGUUGGUGAGGUAACGGCUCACCAAGGCCACGAUCCGUAGCUGGUCUGAGAGGAUGAUCAGCCACAUCGGGACUGAGACACGGCCCGAACUCCUACGGGAGGCAGCAGUGGGGAAUAUUGGACAAUGGGCGCAAGCCUGAUCCAGCCAUGCCGCGUGUGUGAAGAAGGCCCUCGGGUUGUAAGGCACUUUCAGCGAGGAAGAACGCCUAGCGGUUAAUACCCGCUAGGAAAGACAUCACUCGCAGAAGAAGCACCGGCUAACUCCGUGCCAGCAGCCGCGGUAAUACGGAGGGUGCAAGCGUUAAUCGGAAUUACUGGGCGUAAAGCGCGCGUAGGUGGCUUGAUAAGCCGGUUGUGAAAGCCCCGGGCUCAACCUGGGAACGGCAUCCGGAACUGUCAAGCUAGAGUGCAGGAGAGGAAGGUAGAAUUCCCGGUGUAGCGGUGAAAUGCGUAGAGAUCGGGAGGAAUACCAGUGGCGAAGGCGGCCUUCUGGACUGACACUGACACUGAGGUGCGAAAGCGUGGGUAGCAAACAGGAUUAGAUACCCUGGUAGUCCACGCCGUAAACGAUGUCGACCAGCCGUUGGGUGCCUAGCGCACUUUGUGGCGAAGUUAACGCGAUAAGUCGACCGCCUGGGGAGUACGGCCGCAAGGUUAAAACUCAAAUGAAUUGACGGGGGCCCGCACAAGCGGUGGAGUAUGUGGUUUAAUUUGAUGCAACGCGAAGGACCUUACCUACUCUUGACAUCCUGCGAAUUUGGUAGAGAUACCUUAGUGCCUUCGGGAACGCAGAGACAGGUGCUGCAUGGCUGUCGUCAGCUCGUGUUGUGAAAUGUUGGGUUAAGUCCCGUAACGAGCGCAACCCUUGUCCUUAUUUGCCAGCGCGUAAUGGCGGGAACUCUAAGGAGACUGCCGGUGACAGACCGGAGGAAGGUGGGGACGACGUCAAGUCAUCAUGGCCCUCACGAGUAGGGCUACACACGUGCUACAAUGGUCGGUACAAAGGGUUGCCAACUCGCGAGAGUGAGCCAAUCCCGAAAAGCCGAUCUCAGUCCGGAUCGGAGUCUGCAACUCGACUCCGUGAAGUCGGAAUCGCUAGUAAUCGUGGAUCAGAAUGCCACGGUGAAUACGUUCCCGGGCCUUGUACACACCGCCCGUCAC
rnacentral:rRNA from 1 species